rnacentral:rRNA from 1 species
GACUGGAUAGGAAGAUAAAAGGCAUCUUGUAUCUUUUAAAAGACCUAGUUAAUAGGUAUGCUUUAGGAGGGGCUUGCGCCAUAUUAGUUAGUUGGUAGGGUAAUGGCCUACCAAGACGAUGAUGUGUAGCUGGACUGAGAGGUUGAACAGCCACAUUGGGACUGAGACACGGCCCAAACUCCUACGGGAGGCAGCAGUAGGGAAUUUUCGGCAAUGGAGGAAACUCUGACCGAGCAACGCCGCGUGAAUGACGAAGUACUUCGGUAUGUAAAGUUCUUUUAUCGAGGAAGAAAAGCAAAUGGCGAACCAUUUGUUUGCCGGUACUUGAUGAAUAAGCCCCGGCUAAUUAUGUGCCAGCAGCCGCGGUAAGACAUAAGGGGCAAGUGUUAUCCGGAAUUAUUGGGCGUAAAGGGUGCGUAGGCGGUCUAGUAAGUCAGUGGUGUAAUGUCAACGCUUAACGUUGUCCGGCUAUUGAAACUGCUAAACUUGAGUUAGAUAGAGGCGAGUGGAAUUCCAUGUGUAGCGGUAAAAUGCGUAAAUAUAUGGAGGAACACCAGAGGCGUAGGCGGCUCGCUGGGUCUUAACUGACGCUGAGGCACGAAAGCGUGGGGAGCAAACAGGAUUAGAUACCCUGGUAGUCCACGCCGUAAACGAUGAGUACUAAGUGUCGGGUUAAACCGGUACUGAAGUUAACACAUUAAGUACUCCGCCUGAGUAGUACGUACGCAAGUAUGAAACUUAAAGGAAUUGACGGGACUCCGCACAAGCGGUGGAUCAUGUUGUUUAAUUCGAAGAUACCCGAAAAACCUUACCAGGUCUUGACAUGUUUUUGCAAAAUGAUAGUAAUAUCGUGGAGGUUACCAGAAACACAGGUGGUGCAUGGUUGUCGUCAGCUCGUGUCGUGAGAUGUUAGGUUAAGUCCUAAAACGAGCGAAACCCUUAUCGUUAGUUGCCAGCACGUUAUGGUGGGGACUUUAACGAGACUGCCAAUGAUAAAUUGGAGGAAGGUGAGGAUCACGUCAAAUCAGCAUGCCCCUUAUGACCUGGGCUACAAACGUGAUACAAUGGCUGUUACAAAGGGUAGCUGAAACGCAAGUUCUUGGCCAAUCCCCAAAAACAGUCCCAGUCCGGAUUGAAGUCUGCAACUCGACUUCAUGAAGUUGGAAUCGCUAGUAAUCGCGAAUCAGCAUGUCGCGGUGAAUACGUUCCGG